AGGGAAAAAGUACCUAGAAUGGCGGCUGUACCUCUAAUCGCUGUAGUCGUCAGCUGUGCAACCUGUUUUUGGUUUUGCGGUUUUGCGUGAACUGCGCGUCAUGUUGUCAAACCACCCUACCUAAGGUAUGCCAACAAACAACGUGGCCGUUGACUGUCGUAAUUUUCACCGGCUUCGCUUCGAUUCGAGCGGCUUGGAUUAGAGAGUGCUCCCGCCUGACGCGGGUUAGACACUUCACAACAGGCAGAGUGUCACCGUCGCAGGACGAGAGCCACUCCGACAACGUUCUCCGACCACGGCCGCUUGAUUCACCGUCGGGCCCAUCGAGGGGCCGCGCUCCGACAUACAACUCCGGCUACGUGGCUCCUCGGGCGCUACGAACGACAUCGUAUGAGUAGGAGCUGGACCAGGAGGAUACCAUUGGACUGUUAAUGAUGUCCGAGACUUGUGACGGGUUCAGGUCAUGGGAUCUAAGGACUGCUGAGAUGCAGCUGCAGAUCUAAUCCACAAGGUGACAAGGAGAUGGAAGUUCAAGCAGUGAAUCUGGAAGGACGAGAGCUGUCUGCUAGUUCUUCACAAAACAGAAAACAAUGCAUUUAUUACGCAAUGCUUUCAGAGCCUCCUGUAUUCAUAUCAUGGAUGGUCCUGAUGUCCCCGUGAGUCUAAAGCAAUGAAAAGAAAGGCCACCAUCUGAAAAUGAAACUCAUUGACAAGUUC